rnacentral:rRNA from 1 species
CCUACGGGAGGCAGCAGUGAGGAAUAUUGGUCAAUGGACGAGAGUCUGAACCAGCCAAGUAGCGUGAAGGAUGACUGCCCUAUGGGUUGUAAACUUCUUUUAUAUGGGAAUAAAGUUUAGUAUGUAUACUGUUUUGUAUGUACCAUAUGAAUAAGGAUCGGCUAACUCCGUGCCAGCAGCCGCGGUAAUACGGAGGAUCCGAGCGUUAUCCGGAUUUAUUGGGUUUAAAGGGAGCGUAGGCGGAUUGUUAAGUCAGUUGUGAAAGUUUGCGGCUCAACCGUAAAAUUGCAGUUGAUACUGGCAGUCUUGAGUGCAGUAGAGGGAGGCGGAAUUCGUGGUGUAGCGGUGAAAUGCUUAGAUAUCACGAAGAACUCCGAUUGCGAAGGCAGCUCACUGGACUGUAACUGACGCUGAUGCUCGAAAGUGUGGGUAUCAAACAGGAUUAGAUACCCGAGUAGUC